GUCAGCAGAUUCAUAACAUGUUUUUUGUAAAGAAAAAUUAGUAUCAUCUUUAAGCUUGACAGUGAUUUUACUUUGAGAUAACUGCAUUGUCUGUGGGACACCUUAUUAAUCUACUGUAGCUGCAAUGAUGCUGUGUCAUAAACAACCACAGGACCUCAGUGGCCUGUGGCAUAAGCAUUAUUUCUUGCUCACAGGUCUGGGGAGACUCUGCUUCUGGCUGUGGGUGACGGACGUGCCUUGCCUCUGGGCUGUUCCAUGCAUCUCAUUCCAGGCUGACAGGCAGCAGCAACUCAGGGCAUAUUCUUCUCCUGGCUACAGCAACUCUGGAGCUAGGAAGAAAGACAGAAAAGAAAAAGAAAGAAAAAAGACAAUGACAACACAUACACCAAAAAUUAACAUUCUGGAAUCAUGGGCACGCAAGGGAUGCAUUGUCAGAAAAAUUGGGUGAGAACUUGGAGCUCUGUCUUCAUAUUAUUGUGUGAUUUAAAGCAAUUCUCUUAACCGUACUCUUGGAAAGAGCAAAUUUCACUCUUGUCAAAAGGAAAUGAAGCUUUUGACUUCCCCAGUUUGUUCUAAUUCUGAUAGUCCAUGUUGCAGGAAUAGAAAAAGUAAUUCUUAAAAUUUAUAAAACAUUUACACCUUUACUCAUAUCCUGAAAACCUUAAAAUGUGCUUUUCAACCAUCCACAUUUGCUGUCCCCUUUCUUUAUUUGUAUUGUCAAGUGAACUUGUUCCAGCAAAUGAGUCAGCUGAGAUGGAAACAUUUAUUUAUCUGAUGUAAUGUGUCAAUGAUACUCUUCUAAAGUGUUUCCAGUAUGUUUUGAUGUUGAGUAACAUCAAACACACACACACACACACACACUCAAAAAUGGUCUGACUAAAAUCCUAGUGGUGAAUCGCAGCCACCCCUCCCCACUAGGGGCUGCAAUUUGAUUUUGCCACCUUCCCUUUCUCUUAACAAAAGUGCUGUUUGACAUAUAUUUCAUGUUUAGUUCCAUGAAUUAAACUUUGUUUUGUUUGGAGAAUCUGGAGAGACUCUCACACCUCAUUUGAGACCCAGUACAGUGGACCACUGGACCCAGAUGCCUGCCAAGGGGCACCCUGGAAGGGGCUCUGGACCCAGCUCAAGAGGUCAGUCCCCAAGAAUGGAGUCCAAUUCAGCAGGGACAAACCAGGAACAGAACAAUGCAGCAGGGUAAAGAGCCAAAGAGCCCCGUAAAACAGAAAUUCACAAUGGAAGGGCUAUAUGGACAGUCAGGAUGUUAGGGAGACAAAGAGGUCAAAGUAGAAUGGGACCCUGUGGAGGGAGGUGUGGCUAGGACAAGGGCUGUUACAGAACUGUGUUAAGAAGAUGGAUACCUCUUGUGAUGAUUAAUUUUAUGUGUUAAUCUGUCUAGACUAUGGUACCCAGUCAUCCUGUCAAACACUAAUCCAGAUGUGAAGGACUUUGGUGGGUAUGGUUAGCAUCAAUCACCAGUCAACUUUAAGUAAAGCAGAUUACCCUCCACAAUGUGGGUGAGUCUCAUCCAAUCAGUUGAAGACUGUAAGUGCAAAAAUUGAGGUUUCCUGGAGAAGAAGGAAUUCUGCCUCAAGACUGUAACCAAGAAAUCCGGCCUGAGUUUCCAGCCUCCUGCUCUAUGGAUUUUUGGCUCAAGACUGCAACAUCAACUCUUAUUGAACUUCCAGCCUGCUCACCCGCCCUACAGAUUUCAGAUUUUCCAGUCCCCACAAUCAUGUGAAUCAAUUUCUUAAAAUAAAUAUAUCCAUAUAUUUAUAUCUAUGUUUAUC
rnacentral:lncRNA from 1 species